UACAGAGGGUGCGAACGUUGCUCGGAAUCACUGGGCGUAAAGCGCACGUAGGCGGACUCUUAAGUCGGUGGUGAAAUCCUGGAGCUCAACUCCAGAACUGCCUUCGAUACUGGGAGUCUCGAGUCCGGGAGAGGUGAGUGGAACUGCGAGUGUAGAGGUGAAAUUCGUAGAUAUUCGCAAGAACACCAGUGGCGAAGGCGGCUCACUGGCCCGGUACUGACGCUGAGGUGCGAAAGCGUGGGGAGCAAACAGGG
rnacentral:rRNA from 1 species